GGGCCCGUGGCCUAGUUAGGUAAGGCGUCUGACUGAUAAUCAGAAGAUCAAGAGUUCAAAUCUCUUCGGGCCCACCA
rnacentral:tRNA from 1 species